GAUGAACGCUGGCGGCGUGCCUAAUACAUGCAAGUCGAGCGAACAGACGAGGAGCUUGCUCCUCUGACGUUAGCGGCGGACGGGUGAGUAACACGUGGAUAACCUACCUAUAAGACUGGGAUAACUUCGGGAAACCGGAGCUAAUACCGGAUAAUAUAUUGAACCGCAUGGUUCAAUAGUGAAAGACGGUUUUGCUGUCACUUAUAGAUGGAUCCGCGCCGCAUUAGCUAGUUGGUAAGGUAACGGCUUACCAAGGCAACGAUGCGUAGCCGACCUGAGAGGGUGAUCGGCCACACUGGAACUGAGACACGGUCAAGACUCCUACGGGAGGCAGCAGUAGGGAAUCUUCCGCAAUGGGCGAAAGCCUGACGGAGCAACGCCGCGUGAGUGAUGAAGGUCUUCGGAUCGUAAAACUCUGUUAUUAGGGAAGAACAAAUGUGUAAGUAACUAUGCACGUCUUGACGGUACCUAACCAGAAAGCCACGGCUAACUACGUG
rnacentral:rRNA from 1 species